rnacentral:lncRNA from 1 species
GUUGGGUCGGAUAUAUUAGUUACAGAUCGUGAAUGCGGCUUCUUCCUACAAGAAUGUUAUCUUAUACUAUAUAAAUCAUAUACUGUGACCCUGGAGGAAAUAUGUUUGUGCUAGAAAUGAUUAUACGUAUACAACGUUUAUAAAAACCUGGAAAUGUAUUCAGGUACAAGCACUGGGCUGGCUUGGGACGUCUUAGGGGAAUGCAUACGAAAUCGACUUGAGGCGUCCAGGUCCAUGUGGUGCUGGACUGAAGAGUGUGAGGGGAGUAAAAGUAAGGACACCGUGGUUCCGUGUCUGACGCAGCUGUACGACGACGUUUACAGCGGCUCCUGUGAGUCAAGCUCAGCCCCCAUAUUUUACACGCCAUUUUUACCACGUGGUACACGUUUUAUUCUACAUUUUUCUACAUUAGACACUCUUAACCUGUUCAGCGUUAGUCUUCUCCUCCACCAUCACCUUUCACCCAUCGGUGCUUCUCCUGGCUCCACCCCAC